rnacentral:lncRNA from 1 species
UCCCGUAGGAGUCCGGGCGGAGUCUUCCUGCAAUUAGAAUCAAAGGCGAAGUCCGGCUCCCGUAGGAGUCCGGACAAGGCUUACUGGCAGUUAAAGUUGAGGACGGAGCCCGGCUCCCGUAGAAGUCCGGACGGAGUCUACUUGCGGUCGAAGUCAUAGGCGGAGUCCGGCUCCCGUAGGAGUCCGGGCGAAGUCUUCCUGCAAUUAAAAUCAAAGGCGAAGUCCGGCUCCCGUAGGAGUCCGGACAAGGCUUACUGGCAGUUGAAGUUGAGGACGGAGCCCGGCUCCCUUAGAAGUCCGGGCGGAGUGAUGGGAGUUCACCAAUGGCAG